rnacentral:rRNA from 1 species
UACGUAGGGGGCAAGCGUUGUCCGGAAUCAUUGGGCGUAAAGCGCGUGUAGGCGGCUUGGUAAGUCCGCUGUGAAAGUCCAGGGCUCAACCCUGGAAUGCCGGUGGAAACUGUCAAGCUUGAGUCCGGAAGAGGCGAGUGGAAUUCCUGGUGUAGCGGUGAAAUGCGUAGAGAUCGGAAAGAACACCAACGGCGAAAGCACUCUGCUGGGCCGACACUGACACUGAGAGACGAAAGCUAGGGGAGCGAAUGGG